rnacentral:rRNA from 1 species
UACGUAGGCAGCGAGCGUUGUUCGGAGUUACUGGGCGUAAAGCGUGCGUAGGCGGUGGCCCAAGUCUGGUGUGAAAUCUCCCGGCUUAACCGGGAGGGUGCGCCGGAAACUGGGUUGCUUGAGUGCCGGAGAGGCAGGCGGAAUUCCUGGUGUAGCGGUGAAAUGCGUAGAUAUCAGGAGGAACACCCGUGGUGUAGACGGCCUGCUGGACGGCAACUGACGCUGAGGCACGAAAGCGUGGGGAGCAAACAGGAUUAGAAACCCUCGUAGUCC